rnacentral:rRNA from 2 species
CAACACCGCGUGAGUGAAGAAGGGUUUCGGCUCGUAAAGCUCUGUUGUUGGAGAAGAACGUGCGUGAGAGUAACUGUUCACGCAGUGACGGUAUCCAACCAGAAAGUCACGGCUAACUACGUGCCAGCAGCCGCGGUAAUACGUAGGUGGCAAGCGUUAUCCGGAUUUAUUGGGCGUAAAGCGAGCGCAGGCGGUUGCUUAGGUCUGAUGUGAAAGCCUUCGGCUUAACCGAAGAAGUGCAUCGGAAACCGGGCGACUUGAGUGCAGAAGAGGACAGUGGAACUCCAUGUGUAGCGGUGGAAUGCGUAGAUAUAUGGAAGAACAUCAGUGGCGAAGGCGGCUGUCUGGUCUGCAACUGACGCUGAGGCUCGAAAGCAUGGGUAGCGAACAGGAUUAGAUACCCUGGUAGUCCAUGCCGUAAACGAUGAGUGCUAGGUGUUGGAGGGUUUCCGCCCUUCAGUGCCGGAGCUAACGCAUUAAGCACUCCGCCUGGGGAGUACGACCGCAAGGUUGAAACUCAAAGGAAUUGACGGGGGCCCGCACAAGCGGUGGAGCAUGUGGUGUAAUUCGAAGCUACGCGAAGAACCUUACCAGGUCUUGACAUCUUGCGCUAACCUAAGAGAUUAGGCGUUCCCUUCGGGGACGCAAUGACAGGUGGUGCAUGGUCGUCGUCAGCUCGUGUCGUGAGAUGUUGGGGUUAAGUCCCGCGAACGAGCGCAACC